AACGAACGCUGGCGGCAGGCCUAACACAUGCAAGUCGAACGAACUCUUCGGAGUUAGUGGCGGACGGGUGAGUAACACGUGGGAACGUGCCUUUAGGUUCGGAAUAACUCAGGGAAACUUGUGCUAAUACCGAAUGUGCCCUUCGGGGGAAAGAUUUGUCGCCUUUAGAGCGGCCCGCGUCUGAUUAGCUAGUUGGUGAGGUAAAGGCUCACCAAGGCGACGAUCAGUAGCUGGUCUGAGAGGAUGAUCAGCCACAUUGGGACUGAGACACGGCCCAAACGCCUACGGGAGGCAGCAGUGGUUAAUCUUGCGCAAUGGGCGAAAGCCUGACGCAGCCAUGCCGCGUGAAUGAUGAAGGUCUUAGGAUUGUAAAAUUCUUUCACCGGGGACGAUAAUGACGGUACCCGGAGAAGAAGCCCCGGCUAACUUCGUGCCAGCCGCCGCCGUAACAC
rnacentral:rRNA from 1 species